GGCCCGCUCGCAAGCCGACGCCGCCCGGCGCCCCUCGCCGCCCCCGCGCCGGCCCCAGCCGGCCAGACCCGCACCCGCGCGCACCGUCCUUCUCCUCCUGGCUGGUGUAAAGUUCCUGCCGAAUUGGAGGCAAGUGGGGGACGGACGGACGCGCGGGCGCGGGACAGACCCACGUCCAGCCAGUGGAGGCCCAAGAGCCGGCGGGCGCGUCUGGGAACCGACCCACAGACACCGCGGCGCGGGAGGGCGUGCGGGAGGCGGGCAGGAGACUUGGACUGGCAGGCGAUGUGCAGGGGAACUCGACAGACUCAACUUCCCUAAGAGGAGGAGGCGAUCUAUGAAAUAGACAGAUGUGGGAGGAAGCCCUGGGAAAUGGGAGAAGAGGCUGGUGGAUGGCAGAGUCAGUCCAGAAUGAGAGGACUACAGUCAGGCACUUUGCCGUUUCCACGAAGGGACCUGCAGGAAUGGGAGAUGGAGACCGGUGUACACUGCUCACGGAGUGGACAAUGGAAGUAGACAUUUGCCAAACAGGUUAUUGACAGCACAGAAGAAAAGACAAAAGAUCGACAGGGCAGAGAAAUGAUGCUGAAUAUACUUGUACAGUUCAAGAAGAUGCCCAAAAAAUAUAAACUGUGCUGUUAUCCAAAAAAAAAAAAAAAAAAAUUAGACCAGUUCUAGGAAUUGUUCAUCACCAACGUGUCUUAGGGGAUGACCCAGAGAUACUUGAUACAUCUGUUGAAGGACAGGAACAGCAUAUCAAAGGCCCUGAACUGAGUCUCAAAAAUUCUACCCCUCACUUCCCUCACUUCUCCAAAAAGGCCAAACGUUUGGGUAGGAUCAUAAAAGGAAACUAGUCCCCUGUGCAAGUGGAUGGGUGAAAGACGGAGCAUAAGGCUUAACAGGAAUACCUGCUCGUACAUGUUCCUUAUGACCAUUUGCUCUUCAUUGGAGGAGAUUACUCUCCGGAAGGUCCACAUCCACACUGAAAGACUUUGAGCCAAGUACACAAAAAUAUACACUAACGACUGAUUGGAGAGUUAGGUCCUGCAAGAAGUUAAAGUAAGGAAAACCUGUGUGAGGACACGGUGAGAAGACAACUGUCUGCAAGCCAGGAAAAGAACCCUCACCAGAAACUGACUCUGCCGGACCUUGAUCAUGAACUUCUCGCCUCCAGAACUAUGAGAAAAUAAAUGUCUGUUGUUUAAGUCACUCAGUUUGUGAUUUUUUUUUUUUAUGGAAGCCCAUGCAGACUAAGACAACAUGUGUGCAGUAUUUGCUUUUGAAUCUGGUAUUGCUGAACAUCUGAUA
rnacentral:lncRNA from 1 species